rfam:Botryobasidium botryosum FD-172 SS1 unplaced genomic scaffold BOTBOscaffold_15, whole genome shotgun sequence.
GCCCUUAUAGCUCAGUUGGUAGAGCGUUACACUAGUAAUGUAAAGGUCCAUCGUUCGAAUCGGUGUGAGGGCA